AAAUUGAAGAGUUUGAUCAUGGCUCAGAUUGAACGCUGGCGGCAGGCCUAACACAUGCAAGUCGAACGGUAACAGGAAGAAGCUUGCUUCUUUGCUGACGAGUGGCGGACGGGUGAGUAAUGUCUGGGAAACUGCCUGGUGGAGGGGGAUAACUACUGGAAACGGUAGCUAAUACCGCAUAACGUCGCAAGACCAAAGAGGGGGACCUUCGGGCCUCUUGCCAUCGGAUGUGCCCAGAUGGGAUUAGCUAGUAGGUGGGGUAACGGCUCACCUAGGCGACGAUCCCUAGCUGGUCUGAGAGGAUGACCAGCCACACUGGAACUGAGACACGGUCCAGACUCCUACGGGAGGCAGCAGUGGGGAAUAUUGCACAAUGGGCGCAAGCCUGAUGCAGCCAUGCCGCGUGUAUGAAGAAGGCCUUCGGGUUGUAAAGUACUUUCAGCGGGGAGGAAG
rnacentral:rRNA from 1 species